rnacentral:rRNA from 1 species
ACACGACUACAUUAGAUCCCCGGGUAGUCCUAGCCGUAAACGAUACUCGCUAGGUGUCGGCCACGGUGCGACCGUUGUCGGUGCCGUAGGGAAGCCGUGAAGCGAGCCACCUGGGAAGUACGGCCGCAAGGCUGAAACUUAAAGGAAUUGGCGGGGGAGCACCACAACGGGUGGAGCUUGCGGUUUAAUUGGAUUCAACGCCGGAAAUCUUACCGGGACCGACAGCAACAUGAAGGCCAGGCUGAAGACUUUGCCGGAUUAGCUG